rnacentral:rRNA from 1 species
CGCAGCCGCGGUAAUUCCAGCUCCAAUAGCGUAUAUUAAAGUUGUUGCAGUUAAAAAGCUCGUAGUUGAAUUUCGGGAUCAAUGUUUCGGUCAUGCCCUUGGUAUGUACUGAUAUUAUUGGUUUCUCACCUUCUAAAGAGCCGUAAUGCCAUUAAUUUGGUGUCACGGGGAAUUAGGACUGUUACCUUGAAAAAAUUAGAGUGUUUAAAGCAGGCUCACGCUUGGAUACAUUAGCAUGGAAUAAUGAAAUGGGACAUCCGAUUCUAUUUUGUUGGUUUCUAGGAUCGAUGUAAUGAUUAAUAGGGAUAGUUGGGGGCAUUAGUAUUCAAUUGUCAGAGGUGAAAUUCUUGGAUUUAUUGAAGACUAACUACUGCGAAAGCAUUUGCCAAGGAUGUUUUCAUUAAUCAAGAACGAAAGUUAGGGGAUCGAAGACGAUCAGAUACCGUCGUAGUCUUAACCAUAAACUAUGCCGACUAGGGAUCGGAUGAUGUUAAUUUUUUAAUGACUCA